GACGAACGCUGGCGGCGUGCCUAAUACAUGCAAGUAGAACGCAGUUGCCAACGGGUGAGUAACUCGUAGGUAUCUGCCUCCUUCCGGGGGAUAACUAUUGGAACCGAUAGCUAAUCCCGCAUACUGUGAGAUGGCCCUGCGUUGUAUUAGCUAGUUGGUGAGGUAAAGGCUCACCAAGCCGACGAAACAUAGCCGACCUGAGAGGGUGAGCUGCAACACUGGGACUGGGACACGGACCAGACUCAGACGGGAGGCAGCAGUAGGGAUUCGUAGGAUAUGGAAGGAAGUCUGACCGAGCAACGCCGAGGGAGUGAAGAAGAUUUUCGGAUCGUAAAGCUCUGUUGUGUGAGAAGCUGUAACUAACCAGAAAGGGACGGCUAACUACGUGCCAGCAGCCGCGGUAAUAC
rnacentral:rRNA from 1 species